rnacentral:rRNA from 1 species
AACGAACGCUGGCGGCAUGCCUAACACAUGCAAGUCGAACGAGACCUUCGGGUCUAGUGGCGCACGGGUGCGUAACGCGGGGAACCUGCCCUUAGGUUCGGAAUAACUCCCCGAAAGGGGUGCUAAUACCGGAUAAUGUCUUCGGACCAAAGAUUUAUCGCCUUUGGAUGGGCCCGCGUUGGAUUAGCUAGUUGGUAGGGUAAAAGCCUACCAAGGCGACGAUCCAUAGCUGGUCUGAGAGGAUGAUCAGCCACACUGGGACUGAGACACGGCCCAGACUCCUACGGGAGGCAGCAGUGGGGAAUAUUGGACAAUGGGCGAAAGCCUGAUCCAGCAAUGCCGCGUGAGUGAUGAAGGCCUUAGGGUUGUAAAGCUCUUUUACCCGGGAUGAUAAUGACAGUACCGGGAGAAUAAGCUCCGGCUAACUCCGUG